GACGAACGCUGGCGGCGGGCUUAACACAUGCAAGUCGAACGGAAAGGUCCUGCUUAUGUGGGGUGGUCGAGUGGCGAACGGGUGAGUAACACGUGAGUAACCUGCCACUGACUUUGGGAUAACUUCAGGAAACUGGGGCUCAUACCGGAUAGGAGCUCCUGCUGCAUGGUGGGGGUUGGAAAGUUUCGGCGGUUGGGGAUGGACUCGCGGCUUAUCAGCUUGGUUGGGUGGUAGUGGCUUACCAAGGCUUUGACGGGUAGCCGGGCUGAGAUGGUGAGAUGCCACGUUGGGACGGGAAUACGGCCCAGACUCCUACGGGACGCAGCAGUGGGGAAUAUUGCACAAUGGGCGGAGGCCUGAUGCAGCACCGCCGCGUGCGGGAUGACGGCAUUCGGGUUGUAUACCGCUUUCGCCUGUGACGAAGCGUGAGUGACGGUAAUGGGUAAAGAAGCACCGGCUAACUACGUG
rnacentral:rRNA from 1 species